GAUGAACGCUGGCGGCGUGCCUAAUACAUGCAAGUCGAGCGAAUGGAUUAAGAGCUUGCUCUUAUGAAGUUAGCGGCGGACGGGUGAGUAACACGUGGGUAACCUGCCCAUAAGACUGGGAUAACUCCGGGAAACCGGGGCUAAUACCGGAUAACAUUUUGAACCGCAUGGUUCGAAAUUGAAAGGCGGCUUCGGCUGUCACUUAUGGAUGGACCCGCGUCGCAUUAGCUAGUUGGUGAGGUAACGGCUCACCAAGGCAACGAUGCGUAGCCGACCUGGAAGGGGGAUCGGCCACACGGGGACUGAGACACGACCCAGACUCCUACGGGAGGCAGCAGUAGGGAAUCUUCCGCAAUGGACGAAAGUCUGACGGAGCAACGCCGCGUGAGUGAUGAAGGCUUUCGGGUCGUAAAACUCUGUUGUUAGGGAAGAACAAGUGCUAGUUGAAUAAGCUGGCACCUUGACGGUACCUAACCAGAAAGCCACGGCUAACUACGUGCCAGCCGCCGCAGUAA
rnacentral:rRNA from 1 species